AGGGGCUAGAGCGGUAUCCAGGAGUUCCUGUCUCUAUGAGGUUCUUCCAGCUGGUACUCAGCAAGAUUGAGGGAAAAUCCAUUCAUUUCCAGACUUUUGAAGUUCCCUAAGCACUUGAGAAUGACACUGGAAAUUGGUGUCCUUGCUAUGUCAAAAUCCCCAACUGUUUGUUCUUGGUUUGGUGUUAUGUAACUGCAGGCUGAUGUAGUCUUAGAGGAAUCCCGUUAUAUAAUUCAGUCUGCCUCACUACGGCUCACUUUUCCUGUUGUAAACCUCCACAGGGCAGUGGGGAGGAGGGAUAUGGGACAGAGCUCUGUUCCCGGCGGGGCUGAGGGGUCUUCCCACCAUUCCAGUGGCUUUUCCUGGUAGCCGGGCCCAAGAAGACAUUCCCUCUGCCUCUGCUGCCAGGAUCGAAGCCUCCGGCUACGGACACUGCCUCUGGCCUCCUCUCCCAGCCAGGAGCCGCAAAGACGGUUCAGAAUUUUAGCUCUGUAGCAGCAAAGACGUGCCAAACCAGAGCGCUGGUUUUUAAUUGUUUUUCUAGAACAGCGGGGGUGUUGUUACAAGUGUUCAGCAAGAGAGGAUAAAGAAGCCAAAAGAAGUCAACGCAUCUUAAAAAUAGCUUGCAAUUUGGGAAUUGCAAGCCAAAGAUCCGGACGCGUCCGACGCGGCAGGGCGUUUUCGAACCACUCUUUGGCAGGUGGUCCACCCACUUAUCGCCUCCUCCCAUCCCCCUGUGUAGCCUGAUGGCCGAGGCCCUCCCUCGCCGGUCACUUCCCACCUGAGCUGCAAAGAUGCUGUAGCUGGAGUGCAUGCAGCCCCACUGGGACAGGGAGGCGAGCCCUGUAGCAGAAGAAAGUUCUAGGUGUUUCUUCUGCCAACUGUUGUUUGUACUCGGUCCUUUAAGGCUGUCCCUGUGAGUCACCCCGAAAUAGAGACAGUAGCGAGCACCCACCAAGGAGGCAGGCUGGAAUGCAAGAGCCGGAGGAUGGUAGCCAGGAGGUGGACCCGGGAGCCUCAGAGAGGGCCAAGGGACAGGCCGCCUACUCCAGCCUGCAUCAAGACCAGUGAGGGGGCAAGUCCGAAAGCCAGCUACAAAACCAGAUGAAGACGGGCGUUCCUGUCUCCACCCUGACCACUGGAAUUUUCAAACUCGUCUUCCGACUAUUGGACGCCCAGUGAGUCGUAAAAUGAACGUAUGACUCGUAAUCAUCCUCUGAAGUUGCUGGAAUUCUCUUUUUUUUUUUGGCUCGGCCUGCAACUUCUAAAACAGGCGGGACACAGGGGACAGGGCCUGACACUACCCCCAAGGUGGUCCCGGUACUCCUUGAGUGAGUUUAAAGUUUUAUACCACGGAUCGCCUUCUUUAUUUUCAUUUUUUAAACGGGAACCCUCGUUUAAAGCCCUCCCCACGCUUACAAGUCUCAUGACUGGGGACCCCGAACCUUUAAGAAACCAGGUCCCGGGUGAUACGGGAACCGCGGUCCUAGCCGGACCCCCCUCACCCCCAUACUAGGGACGCAAGAGACAGGGAAGGCGGCGUGUCCCAGCGGCCCGCGGGGUCUCGCCACCCAGGGCACCCACCUCGGCGGCAACGCCCCCGCGUUCCCGCGCCCCGGUCGCUCUCCAAUCGGCGAGCCGCUCGCAACCCCAAACGGUUCCGGCCCCGCGAGCGCCCGCUCGCCCCGGGGCCGGCGCAGACUCCGUGGAGGGAGAGGUCUUUGUGCCCAAGGCCGGCGGCGCAACUCAAAAUCUCCCGCGCUCGGCGUCGAGGGGGGGCGGGACCAGCCUCGACCAAUGGGAAGCGUCGAGAGGCGCCGGCCACGCCCCGUCCCGGGCGCUCGGCGCCGGCCACGCCCCCUCCCGAGCGCGCGCGGCGCCGGCCUUUUAAAGGGUGCUGGGGCUCGGCCGGCUCGCCUGCAACCCGGGUUCCAGCUGCCUCGCUUUCCUCUCGUCGCCUCAGCCGCUGCCCUCGCUCGCCAUGCUCUCCGUCCGCGUCCCGCUCGCCACCAUCACCGACCAGCAGCAGCUGAAGGUGUCGCCGCUGAAGCGGCUCAGCCUGGCCGAGAAGGAGAACACGCCCCCGGCCCUCAGCGCCACCCGCGUCCUGGCCAGCAAGGUUGCGCGGAGAAUCUUACAGGACUCGGCCCAACUGGAAAGUAAAGUCUCUGCUAACCCCAGCGUUGAGGAUGAGCCGUUACUGAGAGAGAACCCCCACCGCUUUGUCAUCUUUCCCAUCAAAUACCAUGAUAUCUGGCAGAUGUACAAGAAAGCGGAGGCCUCCUUUUGGACGGCUGAGGAGGUGGACCUUUCCAAGGAUAUCCGGCACUGGGAAGCUCUGAAACCCGACGAGAGACAUUUUAUAUCUCACGUUCUGGCUUUCUUCGCAGCGAGCGACGGCAUAGUCAAUGAGAACUUGGUGGAGCGAUUUAGCCAAGAAGUUCAAGUCACAGAGGCCCGCUGUUUCUAUGGCUUCCAAAUUGCCAUGGAAAACAUACAUUCUGAAAUGUACAGUCUCCUGAUUGACACCUACAUUAAAGAUCCCAAGGAGAGGGAGUAUCUCUUCAAUGCUAUCGAAACGAUGCCUUGUGUGAAGAAGAAGGCCGACUGGGCCUUGCGUUGGAUUGGGGACAAAGAGGCUACGUACGGAGAACGUGUUGUGGCCUUCGCCGCCGUGGAAGGCAUCUUCUUCUCCGGUUCUUUCGCAUCCAUAUUCUGGCUCAAGAAGCGGGGACUGAUGCCCGGCCUUACAUUUUCCAAUGAGCUUAUCAGCAGAGACGAGGGCUUACACUGUGACUUUGCCUGCCUGAUGUUCAAGCACCUGGUACACAAGCCAUCGGAACAGAGGGUAAAAGAAAUAAUUGUCAACGCCGUGAGGAUAGAGCAGGAGUUCCUCACGGAGGCCUUGCCUGUGAAGCUCAUCGGGAUGAACUGCACUCUGAUGAAGCAGUACAUCGAGUUCGUGGCCGACAGGCUGAUGCUGGAGCUGGGCUUUAACAAGUGGAAUUAAAGGCAUCUGCCACCGUGCCCGGCUGACGGUGACGUUUGAAAACUAGCUUGAGCACGAGAGUGGAGUCACCAGGGCUGCUUUCAAAGGGAGACGGAUGGUCUUUCUGUUUCUUGCUCUGCAGUGUUCAUCGUACUGGGUUGCAGAGGGACAAGCCAGAAGCCAAGGCCAACACUGAUGAGAUUGGCGAGCACUCUGGAGCCAGCCCUGGGGAAAACAGAGGUUCCAUCGAGGUGAUGUUGCCCCCUAGGACUUAGAGGUGUCUCUGGUCUGGAGGUGCUGUAUGUUCUUCUCAAGUGACAUGGUAUGCCCUGCAUGCCACUGUGGGGUCUGUGGAGGAUCAGAACUGUGGUUUCAUAACUCACACACACCGUCUGGUGUCUGAGAACCACUUCAUUAAAUGUCAUGUGGAUUCAAAAUAGAAUCAUAUCUCUGAGACAAAGCCCAUUGAGCCAGGAGCCAGCACAGGAUUGGAACAGGCAAUGUCUCACUGGAGCAGGGACUGCAAGCCGGAGGCUGCUGUCUGGGGACCAGCACACUCCAUUCUUUUCUCCGUUCACAUCUGUCUGGACUUCCUAGAUUUGGCAGGUGAUCUCAGAGCCUGGGGGUCUGCAGUGCGUUGGAGGCAGCCAGGGAUAAAGGAGGACAGGUCCUCUGUCAUACUCUCAGAUGAAACUGUGCAGCUCAGAGUGCUCCCCCUCCACAGCUGAGUGCUCCUCCCUUCCCUACUGCCCCAGCUGGAUCCUCAACUGCCUCCAGGGAGGUGCUCUGGGCCAGGAGCAUGGACCUGGGGCCACACUGUUAAUGAGAAGCAGAGGUGGUUUGAACAUGAGCUCGAGGCUCCAAGCCCAGCCCUUUCCUUAGCCCGAGCUGCCCCGUUCCUGAGCACCUUGCUUUCAGUACUAGAGAGUCGAACUGCAAGGGCAUGAGUGGAUUUGGUAGAAUGCUUGGGGGAGGGCUUUUGGUCCACCAUUUUUAAGGCUUCUUUGUAAUUCUAAUGUGUGUCAUGAAAUACGGAUGGAAAGAAUGGUCUUGUGUCUGCCGUCUGUCCCCAACCUUCUGUCUAUCUGGUCAACCAUUGUGGGAGAAGGGGUCUGCUAGCUCAGACUCUGCAGCCUAGAGUACUCCCCUACCACAACUGAGUGCUCCCUGUUCUGUCCCAGCUGAGUUCGCCUCCCUUCCCUACUGUCUCAGGUGAGUGCUCCUCCCUCCCCUCUGCCCCAGGUGAGUGCUCCUUCCUCCCCUCUGCCCCAGGUGAGUGCUCCUUCCUCCCCUCUGCCCCAGAUGAGUGCUCCUUCCUCCCCUCUGCCCCAGGUGAGUGCUCCUUCCUCCCCUCUGCCCCAGAUGAGUGCUCCUCCCUCUAUUGUCCCAGCUGAGUGCUCCUCCCUCCUCUAUUGUCCCAGCUGAGUGUUCCUCCCUCCUCUAUUGUCCCAGCUGAGUGCUCCUCCCUCCUCUAUUGUCCCAGCUGAGUGCUCCUCCCUCCUCUAUUGUCCCAGCUGAGUGCUCCUCCCUCCCCAACUGUCCCAGGUGAGUGCUCCUCCCUCCCCUCUGCCCCAGGUGAGUGCUCCUCCCUCCUCCACUGCCCCAGGUGAGUGCUCCUCCCUCCUCCACUGCCCCAGGUGAGUGCUCCUCCCUCCUCCACUGCCCCAGGUGAGUGCUCCUCCCUCCUCCACUGCCCCAGGUGAGUGCUCCUCCCUCCUCCACUGCCCCAGAUGAGUGCUCUUCCCCUCUGCCCCUGAUUGAUUUUUUUUUUCUUUUUGACUUCUUUUUCUUUUUUUGAGACAAGGUUUCUCUAUAUCGCCCUGAACAGCCAGAAACUCACUACAUAGACCAGGCUGGCCUCGAACUCACAGAGAUCCACCUGGCUCUGCCUCCUGAGUACUGGGAUUAAAGGUGUGCGCCACCAGGCCUAGGGGAUCCGGUGUUGCUAUUGCCCGUGUGUGUGUGCAUGUGUGUGUGUGUGUGUGUGUGUGUGUGUGUGUGUGUGUGUGCCCGUGCACACCUGUGCGUGUGUUUGUAGUAUGUGUGGUGCACGUGUGUGUGCGUGUGUGUGUGCGUGUGCGCGUGUGUGUGUGCGUGUGUGUGUGUCUAUGUGUUUGUAGUAUGUGUGGUGCACGUGUGUGUGCAGAGGAUGGAAGCCCACAGCUGACUCUGGAUGUGUUCUCUGAUCUCUCCCCACCUCACAUACUGAGGCCGGGUCCGUCCCAGCCUGGGGCGCACUCUUUGACCCAGUCUGCCUGGGCAGCUUGCCCUGGCGUCCUGUCUCUCCUGCUCACACGCUGGGAUUCUGUGGCCACUGUGCCCCCCUGGCUUUCCCAUGGGUUCUGGGGAUCUGAACUCGGGUCCUUGUGCUGUGAGGCAAGCGCUUUACCGGCUGAGCCGUCUCACUGGCGCCCCGUGCGCCUCACUCCCGGUCUGUCCUCACGUGAUUGAUUUCUCCCUUCAUGCCUCAGUUCAUCGGCCUGGGUUCGCUCUUUCGCUCUGCCUGCUCCCGAGCUCUAAUGUCCCCCUCACUGCUCCUGCUUUCUCGAUGACUGCUUUAUUCAUUUUUGUUGUUUAAUUGACAGCGAAAGGCUCAGUGGCAGUUCCCGUUGGGUCUGGUGACAUCCUCACUAGUACGCUGUCACCUACUCCAUGCCUUUCCUGUCCCUUUCUUCUUUCUAUUCUGUUGUCCUUCGGCAGCUUUCUGAAGGUUCCUACCCUUGCCUCUCCUCUCUUCUGCGUCUUUUACCUGUUGAUGGUGAGUGAGGGGGGGCUAGGAUCUACCGAGACCAGGGCACUCAUUGUGUCAGGGCUGUUGGAAACAGAGGCUCCCCCUCCUCCUCUUCCUCCUCCUCUCCCUUCUCUUCCUAUCCGUCCUCCUGCUCCCCAUCUCUCCUCCUGCUCCUCCUGCUCCUCUCUUCUGCUUCCCGGAUCCUCCUGCUCCCCAUCUCCUCUCCCUCCUCCUGCUCCCCAUCUCCUCCUCCUGCCCCCACCCUGCCCUGUGAUCUUUGCUGGGGCAGAUAUGGUUUAUCGGGGAGUCUUCACUCUCUUGGCUUUCCUGCUUUAUCCAGGCUGCCAAUGCUGCUGUUCCAAGCUCCUGUGCUCCACCCCGAUGCUGACGGGAUGCUGGUGAGCAGCUGGGCUCCGUGGUCGUCACUUCCUCACGGCUCUGCUCUCUGUUGUCUGGCUUGGCAGCAGUCUUUGGGCUUAUUCUUGGAGUUUCCACCUCUCUUUUGUGUUCCUUGGAGGAGUUUGUAUCAGAGACAGAGUUUAUAUUCUGUUUGGCUUUCUCCCUCUUCCUUUGGGAUGCUUUUCUUUCUUCUUUUCCUGGCUUAUCGAGAUAUAAUUGGCACACAGCACAUGGUGCCUAUUUAGUGCGGUAUCAGUUUAAUAUUGUAUCAUUUUGUUACGACGGUGAACCACCAGAGGCAGGCCAACUUUAAGAAGAAAAGUUCACUUAGCUCAGUGUUCAGCGUGGCCCAGCUUCUGACACGGGAGCCAACAAGAACAACCGAUCACAUUGAAGAACAGGAAGGCUGAGAAGCUGGGGUGCCCACAUUUCUCUCCACUGACCUAAGCCGCCCCCCUGCCCCGCCUCAGAUGGCAGUCCUUUGAGGACCUAGCUCUCAUUACACAAACCUCAGGGAAUGAACCCCAGCCCAGCGGUAGUAAGUCUGUAGUACUUAAUAAGUUGCUUUGUUUUGCAGUAGUGAAUACUGAAACUGGGACCUUCUAUGAGCUGGGUAAGCACCCUACCACUAGCUAGAUCCUUACUCUCCUAUUGAGAAGUUUGCCGGAAAUGUCUACUACAAGGCCGUCACAACUGAGCCAAUAGCAUCCCUAUCCCAUAGUUUCCCCCAAAGAUCACAAAGG